CUACGGGUGGCAGCAGUGGGGAAUAUUGGACAAUGGGCGCAAGCCUGAUCCAGCAAUACCGCGUGUGUGAAGAAGGCCUGCGGGUUGUAAAGCACUUUCAAUUGUGAAGAAAAGCGAGGGCUUAAUACGCUCUUGUCUUGACGUUAACUUUAGAAGAAGCACCGGCUAACUCUGUGCCAGCAGCCGCGGUAAUACAGAGGGUGCGAGCGUUAAUCGGAAUUACUGGGCGUAAAGCGUACGUAGGCGGUUUAGUAAGUCAGAUGUGAAAGCCCUGGGCUCAACCUGGGAACUGCAUUGAAACUGCUAGACUAGAGUGUGGUAGAGGGAAGUGGAAUUCCGGGUGUAGCGGUGAAAUGCGUAGAUAUCCGGAGGAACACCAGUGGCGAAGGCGACUUCCUGGACCAACACUGACGCUGAGGUACGAAAGCGUGGGUAGCAAGCAGGAUUAGAUACCCCAGUAGCC
rnacentral:rRNA from 1 species